GAUGAAGAACGUAGCGAAAUGCGAUACUUGGUGUGAAUUGCAGAAUCCCGUGAACCAUCGAGUCUUUGAACGCAAGUUGCGCCCGAAGCCAUUAGGCCGAGGGCACGCCUGCCUGGGCGUCACACGUCGUUGCCCCCCCAUCUACUCCUUCGGGAUUGCGGGGGGCGGAUGAUGGCCUCCCGUGCGCCUCGUCGCGCGGUUGGCAUAAAUGCCAAGUCCUCGGCGACGCACGCCACGACAAUCGGUGGUUGCGAAACCUCGGUUGCCCGUUGUGUGCGGUCGUCGCGCAUCGAGGGCUCGAAAAAAUUGCCGGGCUCCGGCUCGACUUUCAACGCGACCCCAGGUCAGGCGGGGUUACCCGCUGAAUUUAAGCAUAUCAAUAAGCGGAGGA
rnacentral:misc_RNA from 1 species